CACGGGGGGAGCAAGCGUUGUUCGGAGUUACUGGGCGUAAAGGGUGUGUAGGCGGUUGCUUAAGUUUGGUGUGAAAUCUCCCGGCUCAACUGGGAGGGUGCGCCGAAUACUGAGUGACUCGAGUGCGGGAGAGGAGAGUGGAAUUCCUGGUGUAGCGGUGAAAUGCGUAGAUAUCAGGAGGAACACCGGUGGUGUAGACGGCUCUCUGGACCGUAACUGACGCUGAGACACGAAAGCGUGGGUAGCAAACAGG
rnacentral:rRNA from 1 species